rnacentral:rRNA from 1 species
AGCGAACGCUGGCGGCAGGCCUAACACAUGCAAGUCGAACGGACCCUUCGGGGUUAGUGGCGGACGGGUGAGUAACACGUGGGAACGUGCCUUUAGGUUCGGAAUAGCUCCUGGAAACGGGUGGUAAUGCCGAAUGUGCCCUUCGGGGGAAAGAUUUAUCGCCUUUAGAGCGGCCCGCGUCUGAUUAGCUAGUUGGUGAGGUAAAGGCUCACCAAGGCGACGAUCAGUAGCUGGUCUGAGAGGAUGACCAGCCAAAUUGGGACUGAGACACGGCCCAAACUCCUACGGGAGGCAGCAGUGGGGAAUCUUGCGCAAUGGGCGAAAGCCUGACGCAGCCAUGCCGCGUGGAUGAUGAAGGUCUUAGGAUUGUAAAAUCCUUUCACCGGUGAAGAUAAUGACUGUAGCCGGAGAAGAAGCCCCGGCUAACUUCGUGCCAGCCGCCGCAGUAAUAC